CCACCCCCACCCCGUAGCUUCUGGAACCACGCCCUGUUCUCCUGCCUCCUUUUGCAAUAAUCCAGGACCCGGGCCUGCUCUCUUGAUGUCAAGCUGUCUACUCAUGUGUGUGUCCACCUCACCUUCCAUUCAUGGAGGCCACUCCUACUUUCUUUUAUAUGGACAAAAAUGUAUAUAUAUAAGAAUUAUAUAUAUAUAAGGAACCCCUUUAAAGAUGAUUUUGGAAUUGAUAUCAAGAUGAAAUAAGAUGAAGGAAAAGCCCAUUUCAGAACUCUACCUGUUAGUGAGGAAGGCUGUUACCUGGCCCCUUGGUGGCCCAGACACUCUGGGAGAGGAUGUGCUGACCUCCUCUCACUCCCUUUUCCCCUCUUCCGGCUGACCUGUGACUUACACUGCUCUUACAGUUGAUGUUUGGAAUAAAUAGACAGUAUGUGUGUGUGUGUGUGUGUGUGUGUGUGU